GUUGUUCUCUGGCAGGGGAGAUACCAUGAUCAUGCAGAUGGUUUCCCCAGGGCAAGUUUCAUCCAUUGCACUUGGGAUGCAGAUGGUUUCCCCAGGGCAAGUUUCAUCCCCAAAUGUGAGAAACUCGAUUGCAUAAUUUGUGGUAGUAGUGGACUGUGUUUGCGCUCUCUCCUG
rnacentral:snRNA from 1 species